rnacentral:rRNA from 1 species
CAGCAGCCGCGGUAAUACGUAGGUGGCAAGCGUUGCCCGGAAUGACUGGGCGUAAAGGGCGCGCAGGCGGAAUGCUAUGUCGGGUGUGAAAUUCCAGGGCUUAACCUGGGGGCUGCGUUCGAGACGGGUAUUCUAGAGUGGAGAAGAGGGUAGUGGAAUUCCAAGUGUAGAGGUGAAAUUCGUAGAGAUUGGGAAGAACACCAGUGGCGAAGGCGGCUAUCUGGUCUUUUACUGACGCUGAGGCGCGAAAGCGUGGGGAGCAAACAGGAUUAGAUACCCCUGUAGUCCCUGUCUCUUAUAC